CUGUUUCUAGGAAGAGUAAGAGCAAAGGGGAGAGGGGAAAAGAAAAGGAAAGAAGGGCUCAGCACCUCCCCGCCGAGCCGUGGACAGAGGGGGCACUCUCGGCAGGCGGGUGAGGUCGCUGAGGGCCCGCAGAUGUUUUCCCUGUUGAGUACGGUGCAGCCCCAGGUUACGGUUCCUCUGAGUCACCUCAUCAAUGCCUUCCAUUCGCCAAAAAACACAUCUAUUUCUGUCAGUGUGUCAGCUUCACAAAACCACCAUCGAGAUGUCGUUCCUGACCGUGAGGCUACUGGCAAUGAGCCUGUACUUAAUUUAAGAGACCUUGGAUUAUCCGAAUUAAAAAUUGGACAGAUUGAUCAACUGGUAGACAGUUUACUUCCUGGAUUUUGUAAAGGCAAGAGCAUUUCUUCCCAUUGGCAUACAUCUCAUGUCUCUGCACAGUCCUUCUUUGAAAAUAAAUAUGGUUACUUAGAUAUAUUUAGUACGUUACGUUCCUCUUGCUUGUACAGACAACAUUCAAGAACUCUUAAAAGUAUUUGUUCAGAUCUUCAGUGCUGGCCAGUUUUCAUACAGUCUCGGGGUUUUAAAACUUUGAAAUCAAGAACUCGACGUUUACAGUCCACCUCUGAAAGAUUGACAGAGACGCAGCAUAUAACACCAUCAUUUGUAAAGGGGUUCCUUUUGCGGGACAGAGGAUCAGAUGUUGAGAGUUUGGACAAACUCAUGAAAACCAAAAAUAUACCCGAAGCUCACCAAGAUGCAUUUAAAACUGGUUUUGCAGAGGGUUUUCUGAAAGCUCAAGCACUAACGCAAAAAACCAAUGAUUCUCUGAGACGAACUCGUCUGAUUCUCUUCGUUCUGCUGCUAUUUGGCAUUUAUGGACUCUUAAAAAAUCCAUUUUUAUCUGUCCGCUUCCGGACAACAACGGGGCUUGAUUCUGCAGUAGAUCCUGUCCAGAUGAAAAAUGUCACCUUUGAACAUGUUAAAGGAGUGGAGGAAGCUAAACAAGAAUUACAGGAGGUUGUUGAAUUCUUGAAAAAUCCACAAAAAUUUACUGUGCUUGGAGGUAAACUUCCAAAAGGAAUACUUUUAGUUGGACCACCAGGGACAGGGAAGACACUUCUUGCUCGAGCUGUGGCUGGAGAAGAGGAUGUUCCUUUUUAUUAUGCUUCUGGAUCAGAAUUUGAUGAAAUGUUUGUGGGUGUGGGAGCCAGCCGUAUCAGAAAUCUAUUUAGGGAAGCAAAAGCAAAUGCUCCCUGUGUUAUAUUUAUUGAUGAAUUAGAUUCUGUCGGAGGGAAGCGAAUUGAGUCUCCAACGCACCCAUAUUCAAGGCAGACUAUAAAUCAACUUCUUGCUGAAAUGGAUGGUUUUAAACCCAAUGAAGGAGUUAUCAUAAUAGGAGCCACAAACUUCCCAGAGGCAUUAGAUAAUGCCUUAAUACGUCCUGGUCGUUUUGACAUGCAGGUUACAGUUCCAAGACCAGAUGUAAAAGGUCGAACAGAAAUUUUGAAAUGGUAUCUCAAUAAAAUAAAGUUUGAUCAGUCUGUUGAUCCAGAAAUUAUAGCUCGAGGUACUGUUGGCUUUUCUGGAGCAGAGUUGGAGAAUCCUGUGAACCAGGCUGCAUUAAAGGCAGAUGUUGAUGGAAAAGAAAUGGUUACCAUGAAGGAACUAGAGUUUUCCAAAGAUAAAAUUCUAAUGGGACCUGAACGUAGAAGCGUGGAAAUUGAUAACAAAAACAAAACCAUCACAGCAUAUCAUGAAUCUGGUCAUGCUAUCAUUGCAUAUUACACUAAAGAUGCAAUGCCUAUCAACAAAGCUACAAUCAUGCCACGAGGGCCAACACUUGGACAUGUGUCCCUGUCGCCUGAGAAUGACAGAUGGAAUGAAACUAGAGCUCAGUUGCUUGCGCAGAUGGAUGUUAGUAUGGGAGGAACAGUAGCUGAGGAGCUUAUAUUUGGAACUGACCAUAUCACAACAGGUGCUUCCAGUGAUUUUGAUAAUGCAACUAAAAUAGCAAAGCGGAUGGUUACCAAAUUUGGAAUGAGUGAAAAGCUUGGAGUUAUGACCUACAGUGAUACUGGGAAACUGAGUCCAGAAACUCAAUCUGCUAUUGAACAAGAAAUGAGAAUCCUUUGAAGGGACUCAUAUGAACGAGCGAAACAUAUCUUGAAGACUCAUGCAAAAGAGCAUAAGAAUCUAGCAGAAGCUUUACUAACCUAUGAGACUUUGGAUGCCAAAGAGAUUCAAAUUGUUCUUGAGGGAAAGAAAUUGGAAGUGAGAUGAUAACUCUUAAGAUGGAUGCAUUGCUGGUUUUACUGCAAGAAUAUAUAAGCAGCAUUUCAGUAGUCUCUUUUUGCAAUGCUUUUCUCCCAUUCUUGCCUUGGUGUCACUCAAGGGUGUGAAACACUUUGUCUCUCUUUUGUCAUGUUUAAUCUAAUUUUGGUUAUUCUCAUGAUGACACCUAUUGCAAAUUAUCAACCCAUGU